rnacentral:rRNA from 1 species
UGCGAGCGUUAAUCGGAAUUACUGGGCGUAAAGCGUCUGUAUGUGGUUUGUUAAGUCAGAUGUGAAAUCCCGGGGCUCAACCUUGGAACUGCAUUUGAUACUGCUAAACUAGAGUCUUGUAGAGGGUGGUAGAAUUUCCGGUGUAGCGGUGAAAUGCGUAGAGAUCUGAAGGAAUACCCGUGGCGAAGGCGGCCCCCUGGACAGAUACUGACACUCAGAUGCGAAAGCGUGGGGAGCAAACAGGAUUAGAUACCCUGGUAGUCCACGCCGUAAACGAUGUCUACUUGGAGGUUGUGGCCUUGAGCCGUGGCUUUCGGAGCUAACGCGUUAAGUAGACCGCCUGGGGAGUACGGUCGCAAGAUUAAAACUCAAAUGAAUUGACGG